GUGCACAUUCCAUUGGCCUGCCUCUCUUUUAUAGGUGAGCAGUGUUAUUUUUUAUGUGCUAUACAAAUAGUUGAAGGUUAAUUAGCAGUAUAACUGAAUUGUAAUGCUGCCAGUCUCCUUCAGACAAAU